UGAGCUGGCCGGGCGGCCGCGGACCACACCAGACCGGACAGGGGUACGGCCGAGGUGGUUCGAGGAAAGUCCGGACUUCGCAGAGCAGGGUGAUUGCUAACGGCAAUCCGAGGUGACUCGCGGGAAAGUGCCACAGAGAGCAGACCGCCACACCGGGUCUUCGGACCAGGGGUGGUAAGGGUGAAACGGUGCGGUAAGAGCGCACCAGCGCUCCGGGUGACCGGAGUGGCUAGGCAAACCCCACCCGAAGCAAGGCCAAGAAUGUCGCGUGGGGGGCGCGGCAGCGCAGACGCCCGAGGGCUGCUCGCCCGAGUCUGCGGGUAGGCCGCUCGAGGCACCCGGCGACGGUGUGCCCAGAUGGAUGGUCGCCGCCGCCCCGCCAGACAUGGUGGGUCGGAACAGAAUCCGGCUUAGAGGCCAGCUCAUCCG
rfam:Mycobacterium obuense strain TC1 Mobu_contig000060, whole genome shotgun sequence.